AUAGCAUACAUUAUACGAAGUUAUACGAUUCGUAACUUCGGGAAAGAAUUGGCUCUAAAGGUCGGGUCGAGCCGGGCUGUUGUGUGAAACAGGCGGCUUUUGCCCGUGGCUGCGUGCCGUCUCCUUGCGGGGUGGUGCGUGGACUAGUGGUGAGAGCUGCUUGUGGAGCGCUUCAGCUGCGUGUAUGCUCGUCAGGGUAUGCACUUCGGUUGGCGCUGAACGACCAGUUUAGAACUGGCACGAACUCGGGGAAUCCGACUGUCUAAUUAAAACAGAGGAGACGGAUGGUCCUUGUGGACGUUGACCGUGUCUGAUUUCUGCCCAGUGCUCUGAAUGUUAAGCCAAGGAAACUUGAUUAAGCGCGGGUAAACGGCGGGAGUAACUAUGACUCUCUUAAGGUAGCCAAAUGCCUCGUCGGCUAACUACCGACGCGCACGAAUGGAUCAACGAGAUUCCCACUGUCCCUAUCUACUAUCUAGCGAAACCACAGCCAAGGGAACGGGCUUGGCAAAUUUAGCGGGGAAAGAAGACCCUGUUGAGCUUGACUCUAGUCUGACUUUGUG
rnacentral:ncRNA from 1 species